rnacentral:rRNA from 1 species
AUUGAAACACCGGUUUCUCGUACGAUCACCGAAGUUAAGCAACAUCGAGCCUGGUUAGUAAUUCGAUGGGUGACUGCUUUGGAAUACUAGGAG